rnacentral:lncRNA from 1 species
UAGUAAGUUCGGUUUGGCAGAAAUACGUGCAAUUUCAUUCUUCUUUGCAGGUCGUUUUAGUCAAAUUUGGAUCCAAGUCUGCGAGGCACCGGUGAAUUUGUUGUCCUUCAGGAGCCUCCAGACAAAUUAGAGAGUGAAUUCGGAGAACCGGAUCGACACACCAGUGAUGGGAAUCCAGAAAUCGUGAUUAUUCAAGGGAAGAUCAGAAUUUAUGAGCCACCAUUGCGUGGACCAAAAACCUCGAAAUCUCAAAGCGUGGAGGGGACUGGAAAUACCACCGAUUUUAAAGAUUUUUCAAAUCGCCCAAGCGAUGUUUCGGAGGCAUUCGACGGCUCUCCACGAAAGAAGUGACAGACUUGCGAAUGUGUUCGAAAGGAGUGUUGGGAAAAAUUGUCCUCAACCCUGAUUGGAACGUUUACCUACACACGAUCUUGGGACUGAAUACUAUAAAGGAUGUUCAUGGAAUCGGGCAAUCAGUACAACCAGUCGCGAUCCAAUCUAUGCAGCUAAAUCCUGAGCAUUUGGAAAAUCAGAAAAAAGCCUCAAAAGUUGAUUUUUUCAUUGAUCGAGAUAUUGGCCGCUUUCAAUGCGUUGGGGUGAUAAUAGACGGCUUCAAAACGAAGGUAAUACCCAGAAAAGUUGAAAAAUCCGGAGGAAUCCACGCGGAGCGCCUCUAUUUUGUGCCUUAUACGAAGGGCAUAUUCAAGAGCCUACAUGACUAUGCGCGUGCAAGUCUCCAAAUUAUAGUUGAAAAUUCGGAUCAAUUUGCAAUUAAUUUGGGAAAAUCGAUCAAAAUCAAAGUAUUUUACAAGGAUGACAGAAAAUCAGCUCAACCGCUCCUUGACUUGUAUGCCAAAGUUCUUCAGGAUUGUAACGACCUAAAUGUAGAAUUUGUGCCCACUCAACUCUCUACAAAGCACGAUUCAAAAAUUUCUACCAGUAUCACUUACAUCUCUGAUCCGAAAGAAUUAACGCACCUGCCAAACGGGGAGGACGCUGAGAACGCCUAUUUGUUUGUGGCGGUGCCUUCCAAGGUCCAGAUCAAAAGUAUUGUUGACACUGCCUCAAAAUUUAAACGAAAAUAUGGUGUAAUAUAUGAACAACAAUUUAAUUCUCACAAUUAUGGACUUUUAAAAAAGAAUAAAUCAGGGCAGAAAUGGAAAGUGUGUCACGUUUCAAAAAGCGUGCUUUCAACGUUGGAUGAUUUGAACUCAGAUGGAAAGACUAUAAACGACGGUUUUGUUUUAGUCGUUCCAAAGUCUCAGUGCGUAAAUCCUACAGUUAUGAUGCCAAAAAUUUUGAAAAAGGCUCGGAAAAUAAAAUCAGGUAUGUGCUCCAAGCGUUGUAUUCAAAGUUUCUCCAUCGGAUAAAAAUAAUUAUUCAAAUUCCACCUGUACUUGCUGAUUGCGAUGCCAAUGCUCUAGCAAUUGCUAUACAAUGAGAAGUAUAAACAUAUUUUAAAUCAAAAAGUUGUAUUCGGACUGCUUGAUUUUCUGAGAUAUUGAAAUUGAGGGGCUAAAAGGACAACACGCAUUAGUGCAGUUUUU